rnacentral:rRNA from 1 species
GAUGAACGCUAGCGACAGGCUUAACACAUGCAAGUCGAGGGGCAGCAUAAAAGUAGCAAUACUUUGGUGGCGACCGGCGCACGGGUGAGUAACGCGUAUGCAACCUACCUAUCAGAGGGGAAUAACCCGGCGAAAGUCGGACUAAUACCGCAUAAAACAGGGGCACCGCAUGGUGAUAUUUGUUAAAGAAAUUCGCUGAUAGAUGGGCAUGCGUUCCAUUAGGUAGUUGGUGAGGUAACGGCUCACCAAGCCGACGAUGGAUAGGGGAACUGAGAGGUUGGUCCCCCACACUGGUACUGAGACACGGACCAGACUCCUACGGGAGGCAGCAGUGAGGAAUAUUGGUCAAUGAGCGGGAGCCUGAACCAGCCAAGUCGCGUGAAGGAAGAAGGAUCUAUGGUUCGUAAACUUCUUUUGCAGGGGAAUAAAGUGCGGGACGUGUCCUGUUUUGUAUGUACCCUGAGAAUAAGGAUCGGCUAACUCCGUGCCAGCCGCCGCCGUAACAC